GUGCCACCUGCGGCAAGUAAUUAAUCUUAUCGGCUGACACCAGAGACAAUGAAGAAAGCAAAACGUGUCGACCGACGUAGACACAUUUUUCCAUUGUUCGAAUCGAUAAUAUAUAAUAGUUACCUAUACCAGCUUGUGCUACGACCCAAGAGAGUCGUAGAAAGAGCAUCACCCCCCAAAUAUUGAGAAGACAUCUCAAUAAGACUCCUUGAAUCCAUCCGAAUUUUAUACCGGAAAUCGAUGAUUUCACCUGUGCUAUUGGUAAUAUAUGCGAUCCUGAGUCCUACGACAGUAAAACAAUAAGCAUAAUUUUAAAGCGA